UACAGAGGGGGCAAGCGUUGUUCGGAAUUACUGGGCGUAAAGGGCGCGUAGGCGGCCUGUUAAGUCGAACGUGAAAUCCCCGGGCUCAACCCGGGAACUGCGUCCAAGACUGGGAGGCUUGAAUCCGGGAGAGGGAUGCGGAAUUCCAGGUGUAGCGGUGAAAUGCGUAGAUAUCUGGAGGAACACCGGUGGCGAAGGCGGCAUCCUGGACCGGGAUUGACACUGAGGCGCGAAAGCCAGGGGAGCAAACGGG
rnacentral:rRNA from 1 species